rnacentral:rRNA from 1 species
GAUGAACGCUGGCGGUCUGCUUAACACAUGCAAGUCGAACGGAAUCCUUAGGGAUUUAGUGGCGGACGGGUGAGUAACACGUAAGAACCUGCCUCUUGGACGGGGACAACAGUUGGAAACGGCUGCUAAUCCCGGAUAAGCCGAAAGGUAAAAGAUUUAUCGCCAAGAGAGGGGCUUGCGUCUGAUUAGCUAGUUGGUAGGGUAAGAGCCUACCAAGGCGACGAUCAGUAGCUGGUCUGAGAGGAUGAUCAGCCACACUGGGACUGAGACACGGCCCAGACUCCUACGGGAGGCAGCAGUGGGGAAUUUUCCGCAAUGGGCGAAAGCCUGACGGAGCAAGACCGCGUGGGGGAGGAAGGUUCUUGGAUUGUCAACCCCUUUUCUCAGGGAAGAACACAAUGACGGUACCUGAGGAAAAAGCAUCGGCUAACUCCGUGCCAGCAGCCGCGGUAAUACGGGGGAUGCAAGCGUUAUCCGGAAUGAUUGGGCGUAAAGAGUCCGUAGGUAGUCAUCCAAGUCUGCUGUUAAAGAGCGAGGCUUAACCUCGUAAAGGCAGUGGAAACUGGAAGACUAGAGUGUAGUAGGGGCAGAGGGAAUUCCUGGUGUAGCGGUGAAAUGCGUAGAGAUCAGGAAGAACACCGGUGGCGAAGGCGCUCUGCUGGGCUAUAACUGACACUGAGGGACGAAAGCUAGGGGAGCGAAUGGGAUUAGAUACCCCAGUAGUCCUAGCGGUAAACGAUGGAAACUAGGUGUGGCCUGUAUCGACCCGGGCCGUGCCGAAGCAAACGCGUUAAGUUUCCCGCCUGGGGAGUACGCACGCAAGUGUGAAACUCAAAGGAAUUGACGGGGGCCCGCACAAGCGGUGGAGUAUGUGGUUUAAUUCGAUGCAACGCGAAGAACCUUACCAGGACUUGACAUCUCUGGAAUCUCCUUGAAAGGGGAGAGUGCCGUAAGGAACCAGAAGACAGGUGCUGCAUGGCUGUCGUCAGCUCGUGUCGUGAGAUGUUGGGUUAAGUCCCGCAACGAGCGCAACCCUCGUCGUUAGUUGCCAUCAUUAAGUUGGGAACUCUAGCGAGACUGCCGGUGACAAACCGGAGGAAGGUGAGGAUGACGUCAAGUCAGCAUGGCCCUUACGUCCUGGGCGACACACGUACUACAAUGCGAGGGACACAGAGCAGCCAACCCGCGAGGGAGAGCGAAUCUCACAAACCCUGGCACAGUUCAGAUUGCAGGCUGCAACUCGCCUGCAUGAAGGAGGAAUCGCUAGUAAUCGCAGGUCAGCAUACUGCGGUGAAUCCGUUCCCGGGCCUUGUACACACCGCCCGUCACACCAUGGAAGUGAGCCACGCCCGAAGUCAUUACUCUAACCCUUUCGGGGGAGGAGGGUGCCGAAGGCGGGGUUGAUGACUGGGGUG